rnacentral:tRNA from 1 species
AGGGCUGUAGCUCAGUGGUAGAGUGCUUGCCUAGCAUGUGUGAGGCACUGGGUUUGAUCCUCAGCACCACUU